rnacentral:lncRNA from 1 species
GUAAGUCAGUCUAAUAAUUAUUUUUCGGUGGCUGGUCAGUAGGGACAGCAACCAGUUUUUGUGACAUUUUAAGUAGUUAGAUAAAACAAUCUUCUGCGGGAAAGACCCUUAUUUUCAUAUGCUACAAUUGAUAAAUCUUAGUGUUAAUAAGGAAAAUUAAUAGGAUAUUUGUGUGCUACUUUGUGGUGUGCUUUUAUGCUUACCAAAUUUUUGGCGCUGUGUCGCCGGGGAUUGUUAUUUCUAAAAUUACUUAUUUUUCUAUUGCUUUCUUUUCUUGUCCAAUUAGUGUUUUUGUUUUUAUUUCAGGUACUCUUUGUAGUACAUGCAUACUCGAAAGUCUAAGAGCAUUGAU